rnacentral:rRNA from 1 species
AAUAUUGGACAAUGGGCGCAAGCCUGAUCCAGCCAUGCCGCGUGAGUGACGAAGGCCUUAGGGUUGUAAAGCUCUUUUGGCGGGGACGAUAAUGACGGUACCCGCAGAAUAAGCCCCGGCUAACUUCGUGCCAGCAGCCGCGGUAAUACGAAGGGGGCUAGCGUUGUUCGGAAUUACUGGGCGUAAAGCGCACGUAGGCGGAUUUGUUAGUCAGGGGUGAAAUCCCGGGGCUCAACCUCGGAACUGCCUUUGAUACUGCAAGUCUUGAGUCCGGAAGAGGUGAGUGGAAUUCCUAGUGUAGAGGUGAAAUUCGUAGAUAUUAGGAAGAACACCAGUGGCGAAGGCGGCUCACUGGUCCGGUACUGACGCUGAGGUGCGAAAGCGUGGGGAGCAAACACG